rnacentral:rRNA from 1 species
AGAUUGAACGCUGGCGGCAGGCCUAACACAUGCAAGUCGAGCGGCAGCACGGGUACUUGUACCUGGUGGCGAGCGGCGGACGGGUGAGUAAUGCCUAGGAUCUGCCUGGUAGUGGGGGAUAACGCUCGGAAACGGCGCUAAUACCGCAUACGUCCUACGGGAGAAAGCGAGGGGACCUUCGGGCCUUGCGCUAUCAGAUGAGCCUAGGUCGGAUUAGCUAGUUGGUGAGGUAAUGGCUCACCAAGGCGACGAUCCGUAACUGGUCUGAGAGGAUGAUCAGUCACACGGAACUGACGACGACGGUCCAGACCGUCCGUAAGGGACGGCAGGCAGGUAGGGGAAUACGUUGGAACAAGUCGGGACGAAAAGCCGUAGACGUCCGAAG